rnacentral:tRNA from 1 species
UCCCUGGCGGACUAGUGGUUAGGCCAUGGCGCUCUCACUGUCACAGCCCAGGUUCAAUUCCUGGCCAGGGAA